rnacentral:tRNA from 1 species
UAGCGGAGCAGUGGGUACGCAUUUGGCUGCUAACCAAAAGGUCAGUGGUUCGAACCUACCAGCCACU